rnacentral:rRNA from 1 species
UCCUACGGGAGGCAGCAGUGGGGAAUAUUGCACAAUGGGGGGAACCCUGAUGCAGCCAUGCCGCGUGUGUGAAGAAGGCCUUCGGGUUGUAAAGCACUUUCAGUUGUGAGGAAAGGUUAGUAGUUAAUACCUGCUAGCUGUGACGUUAGCAACAGAAGAAGCACCGGCUAACUCCGUGCCAGCAGCCGCGGUAAUACGGAGGGUGCGAGCGUUAAUCGGAAUUACUGGGCGUAAAGCGCACGCAGGCGGUUUGUUAAGCUAGAUGUGAAAGCCCCGAGCUCAACUUGGGAUGGUCAUUUAGAACUGGCAGACUAGAGUCUUGGAGAGGGGAGUGGAAUUUCUAGUGUAGCGGUGAAAUGCGUAGAUAUUAGAAGGAACAUCAGUGGCGAAGGCGACUCCCUGGCCAAAGACUGACGCUCAUGUGCGAAAGUGUGGGUAGCGAACAGGAUUAGAUACCCUGGUAGUCCACACCGUAAACGCUGUCUACUAGCUGUUUGUGAGUUUAACUCGUGAGUAGCGAAGCUAACGCGCUAAGUAGACCGC